CCCCUGCCUCCCUCCCUUUCCUCUGAAUCUCUUUUCCCUGCCUGAGGGGUUUCCACUUACCCAUACUGUCUGGUGGGAAUUCCUCCAACUUCAUACCUUCCUUCCCUUUGGGGUAUUUUCUGCUGUAUCUAUUGCCACACAAGCCACCCAGUGGCUGAAAACAAGAAACGUGUACUUAUUAGCUCCUGCCUCUGUGGGUGAGCGGGGCAGUGUCCAGCCCGGCUCUGCUGGGCCCAGGCCUGUGUCUGUGGUGAGCUGGCAGGUCGCUGGAUGGCGUAGGACAGACUCAUCCGCACCUCAGGUGGUUAGCAGGCUGUCAGCUGGGGUGAAAGGAUGACAAGGUGACGGGCCAAGUACCUCUCACCCAGCAGGGGAGCCUAUCCCAGGCUUCUGGCCUUUGCGGCGAGGUUCCACGAAUGGGAAGAGCAGAAGCCGUGAGUCUUCUCGAGGCCUGGGCUGGGAACCAGCCGACUCCUGUGGCCACAUUCUCUUGGUCAAAGUGAGUCAGGAGGCUGGGCCUAACUCAAGAAGUGGGAAACGGACUUCAGCUCUUGGUGGAGGGAGUGCAAAGUAUUGUCGUCAUUUUUGCACACACUGGCCCUCUUCUUCCCUGGGCACACUACCGUGAGCAUCAAAACCUCCAAGACCUUCACCUUCUAGGACUUUUUUCCCAGGAACACAGGGGCUCUGCUAUUGAAAACAGAACUUGAGUGGUCUACUGUAAAAUUCUGAAACACCUCAAAGUGGGUACGCAGAUAUUUCUCCCACCCCUCCGUGCAACAUUCACUUUCAGCUAUGACCUAGAACUGGAUUCCAUACAGAUACUGUUUGCAAAGGUUUGAAGAAAAUCUGGUCUUUGUGAAGAAUAACAAGAGGUUAUGAAAUAAAUAACAGUCUCUACAAAAGGAACACAGGUUGUAAGCCUCAAUCCUUGUUAAGGGUGUGGUGAAGAUGGCAUAGCCUAAGAUUUUAGCCUU